UUUGUGGAGAGUUUGAUCCUGGCUCAGGACGAACGCUGGCGGCAUGCCUAACACAUGCAAGUCGAACGGAGCACGGAUACUUCGGUGGAAGUGCUUAGUGGCGGACGGGUGAGUAACGCGUGGAUAACCUGCCUGAGAGUGGGGGAUAACAGCCCGAAAGGGCUGCUAAUACCGCAUAACGUUGUCUGGGGACAUCCCCGGACAACCAAAGGAGCAAUCCGCUCUUGGAUGGGUCCGCGUCCGAUUAGCUAGUUGGUGAGGUAAUAGCUCACCAAGGCGACGAUCGGUAGCCGGCCUGAGAGGGUGAACGGCCACACUGGGACUGAGACACGGCCCAGACUC
rnacentral:rRNA from 1 species